UGCAAGACAUCAAAAGGAGAUGCAUCAAGACAAAGGAAGAGCUGUUGGAGAAUUUGCACAUUAGAUUGAAGUGGAUAAUGUAUAUAGAGAGGCGCCUGUACGAGGCUGACACGCGCGUCUCCAUGCAUCAAGAGAGUGUUCGGUGCCUGGCUGGACUCCUGCAAGUGGUGGAGCAGAUUCACUGCGCCCCGAGGGUCUAUGCCGCAGCCGUCACGGAGGUGGCUCGACCGGCAUGCCUUCUCCAGGGCCUUCCUGCAGGUGAACUAAGGAUCAGAGAAGGUGGGCGUCGGAGCUGAGCAGCCAGAGUGGAGAGGUGUGGAGGCGCGAGGUGGAGGCAAGAAGAGGCUUUUCCCAAGACUUCUCCACCCACUUCCUAGCCUCUCUCUUUCCUGGUAUGGAAGAUCUGCCCCCUAAUUU